UACGGAGGGUGCGAGCGUUGUCCGGAAUCAUUGGGCGUAAAGGGCGCGUAGGUGGCGGGAUAAGCGUGCGGUGAAAGCUUGGGGCUCAACCCCGAGUCUGCCGUGCGAACUGUUCUGCUUGAGCACUGUAGAGGCAGGCGGAAUUCCGGGUGUAGCGGUGGAAUGCGUAGAGAUCCGGAAGAACACCGGUGGCGAAGGCGGCCUGCUGGGCAGUUGCUGACACUGAGGCGCGACAGCGUGGGGAGCAAACAGG
rnacentral:rRNA from 1 species